GCCCGCCUAGCCCAAUCGGCAGAGGCACACGGCCUAGACCCGUGGUGUUCCCGGUUCGAGUCCGGGGGCGGGCA
rnacentral:tRNA from 1 species